AACUUUCAAAAACGGAUCUCUUGGCUCUUGCAUCAAUGAAGAACGCAACGAAAUGCUAUAAGUAAUGUGAAUUGCAGAAUUCAGUGAAUCAUCAAAUCUUUGAACGCACCUUGCGCCCUUUGGAUAUUCCCAAGGGCAUGCCUGUUUGAGUAUC
rnacentral:rRNA from 1 species